rnacentral:rRNA from 1 species
UACGUAGGCAGCAAGCGUUGUUCGGAGUUACUGGGCGUAAAGGGUGCGUAGGCGGUUGUUUAAGUUUGGUGUGAAAUCUCCCGGCUCAACCGGGAGGGUGCGCCAAAUACUGAACGGCUAGAGUGCGGGAGAGGAGAGUGGAAUUCCUGGUGUAGCGGUGAAAUGCGUAGAUAUCAGGAGGAACACCUGUGGCGAAAGCGGCUCACUGGACCAUAACUGACGCUGAGGCACGAAAGCUAGGGGAGCAAACAGG